AAAAAUUUAGUUAAAUUUAUAACAUUAAUAUGUCAUAUUAAAAUUAUUAAGCUUUAAUAUUUUUUU
rnacentral:tRNA from 1 species